rnacentral:rRNA from 1 species
CAGCAGCCGCGGUAAUACGGGGGGAGCAAGCGUUGUUCGGAUUUACUGGGCGUAAAGGGCGCGUAGGCGGCGCAACAAGUCAGUUGUGAAAUCUCUGAGCUUAACUCAGAGCGGUCAACUGAUACUGUCGUGCUAGAGUGCAGAAGGGGCAACUGGAAUUCUCGGUGUAGCGGUGAAAUGCGUAGAUAUCGAGAGGAACACCUGCGGCGAAGGCGGGUUGCUGGGCUGACACUGACGCUGAGGCGCGAAAGCUAGGGGAGCGAACGGGAUUAGAUACCCCGGUAGUCCUAGCCUUAAACGAUGGAUGCUUGGUGUCCGGGGUUAGAUAGUCCCCGGGUGCCGUCGCUAACGCUUUUAGCAUCCCGCCUGGGGAGUACGCACGCAAGUGUGAAACUCAAAGGAAUUGACGG